rnacentral:rRNA from 1 species
UGAGGAAUUUUGGGCAAUGGGCGAAAGCCUGACCCAGCAAUGCCGCGUGAACGAUGAAGUCCUUCGGGAUGUAAAGUUCGUAAGCAGGAGAAGAACACAAUGACGGUAUCCUGUGUAAGCCCCGGCUAACUACGUGCCAGCAGCCGCGGUAAUACGUAGGGGGCAAGCGUUGUUCGGAUUUACUGGGCGUAAAGGGCGCGUAGGCGGCGCGUAAAGUCGGACGUGAAAUCGCUGGGCUUAACCCAGCGGCUGUGUCCGAUACUUGCGUGCUUGGAGUGCGGGAGAGGCAAUCGGAAUUCUCGGUGUAGCGGUGAAAUGCGUAGAUAUCGAGAGGAACUCCAGUGACGAAGGUGGGUUGCUGGACCGACACUGACGCUGAGGCGCGAAAGCUAGGGGAGCAAACGGGUAGAUACCCCGGUAGUCCUAGCCCUAAACGAUGAAUACUUGGUGUGCGGGUUAUUUAGUACCUGCGUGUCGUAGCUAACGCGAUAAGUAUUCCGCCUGGGGAGUAUGAUCGCAAGAUUGAAACUC